rnacentral:piRNA from 1 species
UGGUCCAUGGCUGCAAACGGAACACUGAAU